GCCUCCGUUGUGUAGAGGCCUAGCACGCGGCCCUCUCAAGGCUGAAACAGGGGUUCGAAUCCCCUCGGAGGUG
rnacentral:tRNA from 1 species